rnacentral:piRNA from 1 species
UGCUAUCUGAGAGAUGGUGAUGACAUUA